UACAGCGCAAUGAAUAGCACUUUGGACUUCUAAUCCAAAGGUAGUGGGUUUGAAUCCCACCUGAGUAG